GAUGAAGAACGUAGCGAAAUGCGAUAAGUAAUGUGAAUUGCAGAAUUCAGUGAAUCAUCGAAUCUUUGAACGCACAUUGCGCCCGCCAGCAUUCUGGCGGGCAUGCCUGUUCGAGCGUCAUUUCAACCCUCGACUUCCCUUUGGGGAAAUCGGCGUUGGGGACUGGCAGCAUACCGCCGGCCCCGAAAUGGAGUGGCGGCCCGUCCGCGGCGACCUCUGCGUAGUAAUCCAACCUCGCACCGGAACCCCGACGUGGCCACGCCGUAAAACACCCCACUUUCUGAACGUUGACCUCGGAUCAGGUAGGAAUACCCGCUGAACUUGAGCAUAUCAAUAAGCGGAGGA
rnacentral:misc_RNA from 1 species